GAUGAACGCUGGCGGCGUGCCUAAUACAUGCAAGUCGAGCGAACAGACGAGGAGCUUGCUCCUCUGACGUUAGCGGCGGACGGGAGAGUAACACGUGGAUAACCUACCUAUAAGACUGGGAUAACUUCGGGAAACCGGAGCUAAUACCGGAUAAUAUAUUGAACCGCAUGGUUCAAUAGUGAAAGACGGUUUUGCUGUCACUUAUAGAUUGAUCCGCGCCGCAUUAGCUAGUUGGUAAGGUAACGGCUUACCAAGGCGACGAUGCGUAGCCGAGCUGAGAGGGUGGUAGGCCACACUGGAAGUGAGACACGGUCCAGACUCCUACGGGAGGCAGCAGUAGGGAAUCUUCCGCAAUGGGCGAAAGCUUGACGGAGCAACGCCGCGUGAGUGAUGAAGGUCUUCGGAUCGUAAAACUCUGUUAUUAGGGAAGAACAAAUGUGUAAGUAACUAUGCACGUCUUGACGGUACCUAAUCAGAAAGCCACGGCUAACUACGUG
rnacentral:rRNA from 1 species